CAGGGAGACAAUAAAUUGAUUGUGAUGUCUAAGUUAUUUAUUCUUAGGCCGCAAUCCUGUCACCUUAAGGUCGAUCGGUACCUCAGAUUUUUGAAUUAGUUUUAUAAUUGAUUCUUUGAUUUCAGUUCCUAAACUUGUCUAGGUCACACCCAACAAAGGUUUCUCCUGGGCCAUUAGCUCAGGUGGUUAGAGCGCACCCCUGAUAAGGGUGAGGUCCCUGGUUCAAGUCCAGGAUGGCCCAUUCGUUGUUGGGGGUAUAGCUCAGUUGGUAGAGCGCCUGCUUUGCAAGCAGGAUGUCAGCGGUUCGAGUCCGCUUACCUCCACUGAAAACUAUCCUGAUAACUAAAUUCUGGAGAAAAAUUGUAGAUGUGGCUUAGAAUUGUCUAUUUGAAGAGAACCUAGCUUCUUGUCAUCUUUUUAUAGUUGAUAAAAUGCUGGGCUCGCAUGGAUUAUUUCCAUGAGAAUUCAGUAGAACCUUGAAAACUGCAUAGAUUAGAAAGAAUAAAGCAUCUCAUGGAUGCAUAAUUCUGUUUUUUUAAUUUAGCCUUAAAACUAAAUUAUUUAAUUCUAGAAUUCAUGUUUAAUUCUUGAGUAAAAGCCGAGCACAAUUGAUUUUGUGAUUGUAUUUAA
rnacentral:tRNA from 1 species